CACUGUGACCCCAAUUCCCAUCAGUGUCCCCACAGCACUGUGACCCCAAUUCCCAUCAGUGACCCCAAUUCCCAUCAGUGUCCCCACAGCGCAGUGACCCCAAUUCCCGUCAGUGACCCCAAUUCCCAUCAGUGUCCCCACAGCACUGUGACCCCAAUUCCCAUCGGUGUCCCCACAGCACUGUGACCCCAAUUCCCCGCUGUGACCCCAAUUCCCAUCAGUGUCCCCACAGCACUGUGACCCCAAUUCCCGUCAGUGACCCCAAUUCCCAUCAGUGUCCCCACAGCGCUGUGACCCCAAUUCCCGUCGGUGUCCCCGCAGCACUGUGACCCCAAUUCCCGUCAGUGUCCCCACAGCACUGUGACCCCAAUUCCCGUCAGUGACCCCAAUUCCCGUCAGUGUCCCCAUAGCACUGUGACCCCAAUUCCCGUCAGUGACCCCAAUUCCCAUCAGUGUCCCCACAGCACUGUGACCCCAAUUCCCGUCAGUGUCCCCAUAGCGCUGUGACCCCAAUUCCCCACUGUGACCCCAAUUCCCGUCAGUGUCCCCAUAGCACUGUGACCCCAAACUCUGGUGGUGUCCCCACAUUGCUGUGUCCCCAUCUCCCCACCGUGUGGCACUGUGUCUCUGUCACUCAGCUCUGGCAGUGUCCCCUCUGUGUCCCUCUGGCACUGCGUCCCUCCCACCCCAAAAUCUGACAGUGUCCCCAUGUGUCCCCGUGAUCCCAAACUCUCAGUGUCCCCUCUGUGUCCCCUCCAUUCCUCAUGACCCCGUGUCCCUGUCACCCACACCGGCAGUGUCCCCAUGGCUCUGUGUCCCCAUCACCCCAAACUGUCAGUGUCCCCUCUGUAUCCCUAUGACCCCAAACCCUCUCAGUGUCCCCUCUGUGUCCCCAUC
rnacentral:lncRNA from 1 species